UUUUCAUGUAGCCAAACAAGUCUUUCCCCUACAGCCUUUAAGCCCUGCCCCCGCCUCCUCGCUCCUUCCUCCCCGCCUCCUCGAUGCGUCAACCCGGAACCAAAGCAGAAGUUGGAGUCAGCUGCUGGUGGGCAGACUGGCAAAUUGCUCAAGGAGGAUAGUGAGAGCAUGUGCUGCAUACUUUUUCAGCAGAGGAGGGGUCAUCGACUUCCGUCUUAUCAGGCACAAGGUGCAACAAAGCUGAGUUAGUGCUCAUCUGAGGGGGAAAAGGCUAUCUGUCAAGCACGGCCAGUCCUGACACAUGCAGAUAAUGGAGUCCAGUCUAAACAUUGGCAGGUUUACUCAGCGCAGGAAGACGUCACUGCUGUUCAUCGCACAUGCUGGGCCUGUGGACCCACACUUGUCUGGUAGAGGCAAAAACCCUGUGAGAGACUGCGUCCGCCAUGUAACAAACAAUUGCGAUGGAUCAGAAGGACCGGCUUGUUUCCUGGAUGCUCUGUGACGAUCUGUGUGACUUGAGAAUGGCCCAUCUCCUACCAGCACAGACGUGCCAGUCACCUCCUGACUGUGUCUCUGGCUGUGACCCUCAGGAUGAGCUCUGUGUCUCUGCCCGUCUGCUGCUCCAUCCGCCGGCAUAACCAGGCCAUCUCAGUGCAGAGGAAACAGAGGAAACCCAGUUUAUGACAAUAAAGUCAAUAAUUCAUCAUUUCUAUUGUCCUCUACUCAAAUGAUGCUGCACCUCAGACACGUUGGUCGAUUUCUGACAACAAACUGCACGUAGCAGAAACUCACCGCAACAUAUUCUGUGGUUUUAUGGUUGAUAUGAUGAAUACAACACACACAGUGUUCCUUUUUGUUUCUGGUAAAGACAAAGGUAUACAAAUCCCUGUAAGAACGAUAUAAAUGUGUCUUCACUGUGAUCCUCUGGUGCGCGCUGAGCAGCCUUUCUCCAGGAAAAGACCUCCUAAUCUUUGGAUCAUCCGAGGAGGAUCUCGCCCACCUGGGACCCUUCCCUGGAGGUGAGCCGUGCCGCGCGCCGACUGCCUCACUGUGUUUUAGCAGCAAUGCACCAUUCAAGUCUGCAGGCGCCUUGACAAAUGUUCAGCAAUCUGAGCAGAGGGGAUGCUCGCACACUGCAGCACACAUCCUGUCCCAUCCACAUCCCUCUGUCCCGCAGUGGUGCAGCUCCUCUCCUGACUGUGAACCAGCACACACACGCUCUUCUCAAAGUCACACCAGCACAGCACACGCUAAGCACAUGCCUGCUGACGCACGCACACACACAGAUGUGAGCGUGUGUACAUUUCUUUCUAAAUAAAAGCAAUGUUGAUCUUCAGCUUUCA